AUUCUGCAUUUUUAGCAAGCU
rnacentral:ncRNA from 2 species